rnacentral:rRNA from 1 species
UACGUAGGGGGCAAGCGUUGUCCGGAAUCAUUGGGCGUAAAGAGCGUGUAGGCGGCCCGGUAAGUCCGCUGUGAAAGUCCAGGGCUCAACCCUGGGAUGCCGGUGGAUACUGUCGGGCUCGAGUCCGGAAGAGGAGUGUGGAAUUCCUGGUGUAGCGGUGAAAUGCGCAGAUAUCAGGAGGAACACCAAUGGCGAAGGCAGCACUCUGGGACGUGACUGACGCUGAGGCACGAAAGCGUGGGUAUCAAACAGG